UAGUCCACGCCCUAAACGAUGUCGACUGGUUGUUGGGGGUUUGACACUCUCAGUAACGAAGCUAACGCGUGAAGUCGACCGCCUGGGGAGUACGGCCGCAAGGUUAAAACUCAAAGGAAUUGACGGGGACCCGCACAAGCGGUGGAUUAUGUGGAUUAAUUCGAUGCAACGCGAAAACCUUACCUACCCUUGACAUGUCCGAGAGCCCGCAGAGAUGUGGGUGUGCCCGAAAGGGAAUCGGAACACAGGUGCUGCAUGGCUGUCGUCAGCUCGUGUCGUGAGAUGUUGGGUUAAGUCCCGCAACGAGCGCAACCCUUGUCAUUAGUUGCUACAUUCAGUUGGGCACUCUAAUGAGACUGCCGGUGACAAACCGGNGGAAGGUGGGGAUGACGUCAAGUCCUCAUGGCCCUUAUGGGGUAGGGGCUUCACACGUAAUACAAUGGGCGCGUACAGAGGGGUUGCCAAGCCGCGAGGUGGAGCCAAUCCCUUAAAGCGCGUCGUAGUCCGGGAUUGCAGUCUGGC
rnacentral:rRNA from 1 species